UACGGGGGAGGCAAGCGUUGUUCGGAUUUACUGGGCGUAAAGGGCGCGUAGGCGGCCAGCACAAGUCAGUUGUGAAAUCUCCGAGCUUAACUCGGAAAGGUCAACUGAUACUGUGCGGCUAGAGUGCGGAAGGGGCAACUGGAAUUCUUGGUGUAGCGGUGAAAUGCGUAGAUAUCAAGAGGAACACCUGCGGCGAAGGCGGGUUGCUGGGCCGACACUGACGCUGAGGCGCGAAAGCCAGGGGAGCGAACGGG
rnacentral:rRNA from 1 species